GUAGGUGGCAAGCGUUGUCCGGAAUUAUUGGGCGUAAAGCGCGCGCAGGUGGGUUCUUUAAGUCUGAUGUGAAAGCCCCCGGGCUCAACCGGGGAGGGUCAUUGGAAACUGGGGAACUUGAGUGCAGGAGAGGAAAGUGGAAUUCCACGUGUAGCGGUGAAAUGCGUAGAUAUGUGGAGGAACACCAGUGGCGAAGGCGACUUUCUGGCCUGUAACUGACACUGAGGCGCGAAAGCGUGGGGAGCAAACAGGAUUAGAUACCCUGGUAGUCCACGCCGUAAACGAUGAGUGCUAAGUGUUGGGGGGUUUCCGCCCCUCAGUGAUGCAGCUAACGCAUUAAGCACUCCGCCUGGGGAGUACGGUCGCAAAGACUG
rnacentral:rRNA from 1 species